rnacentral:rRNA from 1 species
UAACACAUGCAAGUCGAGCGGAUGAAGGGAGCUUGCUCCUGGAUUCAGCGGCGGACGGGUGAGUAAUGCCUAGGAAUCUGCCUGGUAGUGGGGGAUAACGUCCGGAAACGGGCGCUAAUACCGCAUACGUCCUGAGGGAGAAAGUGGGGGAUCUUCGGACCUCACGCUAUCAGAUGAGCCUAGGUCGGAUUAGCUAGUUGGUGGGGUAAAGGCCUACCAAGGCGACGAUCCGUAACUGGUCUGAGAGGAUGAUCAGUCACACUGGAACUGAGACACGGUCCAGACUCCUACGGGAGGCAGCAGUGGGGAAUAUUGGACAAUGGGCGAAAGCCUGAUCCAGCCAUGCCGCGUGUGUGAAGAAGGUCUUCGGAUUGUAAAGCACUUUAAGUUGGGAGGAAGGGCAGUAAGUUAAUACCUUGCUGUUUUGACGUUACCAACAGAAUAAGCACCGGCUAACUUCGUGCCAGCAGCCGCGGUAAUACGAAGGGUGCAAGCGUUAAUCGGAAUUACUGGGCGUAAAGCGCGCGUAGGUGGUUCAGCAAGUUGGAUGUGAAAUCCCCGGGCUCAACCUGGGAACUGCAUCCAAAACUACUGAGCUAGAGUACGGUAGAGGGUGGUGGAAUUUCCUGUGUAGCGGUGAAUGCGUAGAUAAUAGGAGACACCAGUGGCGAGGCGACCACUGACUGAUACUGACACUGAGUGCGAAGCGUGGGGAGCAAC